rnacentral:rRNA from 1 species
CCUACGGGGGGCAGCAGUGGGGGAUAUUGCACAAUGGGGGGAACCCUGAUGCAGCGACGCCGCGUGGGUGAAGAAGCGCCUCGGCGCGUAAAGCCCUGUCAGCAGGGAAGAAAAUGACGGUACCUGAAGAAGAAGCCCCGGCUAACUACGGGCCAGCAGCCGCGGCAAUACGGAGGGGGAAAGCGGUAUCCGGAUUUACUGGGUGUAAAGGGGGCGCAGACGGCGAUGCAAGCCAGGGGUGAAAGCCCGGGGCCCAACCCCGGGACUGCUCUUGGAACUGCGUGGCUGGAGUGAAGGAGGGGCAGGCGGAAUUCCUGGUGUAGCGGUGAAAUGCGUAGAUAUCAGGAGGAACACCGGUGGCGAAGGCGGGCUGCUGGACUGCAACUGACGUUGAGGCCCGAAAGCGUGGGGAGCAAACAGGAUUAGAUACCCCAGUAGUC